CACUCAUACCCGAAUGGCAUCGGACAGCUGCCAGGAAACGCAAACAAAGCUUACCAAACUCAGCUAGCCAUGGUGCAUUGCGGUAAGAACGAUUCGAAGCAAAUAGUUUCUUUCCAGUCGGUGUUUGUGCGAGUUUAUCUGAAUGUGUGUGCUGAAAAGAUAGUGGAAGUGUUUGGAAGCGUAGAACGAAGCGAUGAAACUCCGCUCAGGAAGGUGCUCCCAUAGUUCCGCAAGACAGACCAACUUUACCGGCACCAACAUUGACCAGCAAUUCAAAGAAAACCCCAAAAUGAUGCUCUCACAUGGAAGCUCACACGAGAGGAAUAAUAUUACCAGCCAGAUCUGAAUCGGUAGGCUCGUAUACCGAAGGCAAAAAUGGACUGUCUGUUCGAUGAACUCAAACGAGCUUAGGCUGGACAUGUGCAUACUGCUUUUUCAGCAAAAUUAUACACAUCGCUGUGUACAUGCUGUGAAUAUCGAAUGCGUUUGUGCUGUGUUCGUGUGGUCGAGGUCAAACAGAAAGGCGGACUGCUGAAAUCUCAUUCAUAAGGCAGGUGGAAUGGACGAGCUGGCUACGAAAUGAAAUCAGGGCCGGAAGAUGAGCCAAACUCAUAGUUUGAAGGAGAGGGAAUGUCGGUUUUCUAUAAGAGACGCAAGGACAGCCAAUGAUGAGCGCUCGUUUUUCCUGGAAACCAAUUAUUCUUGGAUUAAGAAUCGUGUUGAUUUUCCAUUUGAAUUAAAGUUAUCCAUUUUGGUGAAUAAAUUAUA